GGGCCCGCGGGAACUCCGGGCCCGUGAUGGGAAAGGCGGCGGGAGCAGGAGGGAGAGAUCCGGCUGAGCUUUGAGGACCUGCCAGGACCUGAGCCCAGAGCGCCUGGAGGCACCCGAAAGGCACAGCUGCACCCCAAAACUGCACAGCUGCACCCCAAAAUGCAGACCUAGACCCCCAAAAUGCACAGCUGGACCCCAAAAUCGUAUAAAGCUCCCCAUAAACCCUGAACCCCCAAACCUGGAGAUACCUGAAGUACACCUGAACCCCAGGGCGUUUGGGGGGCCCCAGGGCUGUGACCCUGGUUUUCAGGUUUUGGGGUGUCCCAGGGCUGUGACUCCCCUGUUUUAAUCUCCCCAUGUGAAAUCCCCCCCACUUUGUCCCCAAUUGGAGGUCCCCAAAACCAGGGGGGGCCCCCAAAACCCCCUGGGGGGGGAGCCAGCCCCCCCAAGGCUUCGUUGCAAACGGGUUUGAGAAGAAUCAAUAAAGUUUGGGAUAAAAAUCGG